rnacentral:snRNA from 1 species
UUGCUUUGGCUCCACAUACACUAACACUGGAAUGAUACAGAGAUUAGCAUGGCCCCUGUGCAAGGAUGACACGCACAUUCUUGAAGCGUUCCCUAUUUUU